AUUGAACGCUGGCGGCAGGCCUAACACAUGCAAGUAGAACGAGUGGCGGACGGGUGAGUAAUGUCUGGGAAACUGCCCGAUGGAGGGGGAUAACUACUGGACACGGUAGCUAAUACCGCAUACCAUCGGAUGUGCCCAGAUGGGAUUAGCGAGUAGGUGGGGUAACGGCUCACCUAGGCGACGAUCCCUAGCUGGUCUGAGAGGAUGACCAGCCACACUGGAAGUGUGACACGGACCAGACGCCGACGUGAGGCAGCAGUGGGGAAUAUUGCACAAUGGGCGAAAGCCUGAUGCAGCCAUGCCGCGUGUAUGAAGAAGGCCUGCGGGUUGUAAAGUACUUUCAGCGAGGAGGCGUUACUCGCAGAAGAAGCACCGGCUAACUCCGUGCCAGCCGCCGCGGUAAUGC
rnacentral:rRNA from 1 species